GCCAGUGUGGUGUAGUGGUUUAAGUGUUGGGCUACAACUCUGGAGACCAGGGUUCGAUUCCCAGUUUCUGUCC
rnacentral:tRNA from 1 species